rnacentral:rRNA from 1 species
GCCUACGGGGGGCAGCAGUGAGGAAUAUUGGUCAAUGGUCGGGAGACUGAACCAGCCAAGCCGCGUGAGGGAUGAAGGUACAGAGUAUCGUAAACCUCUUUUGUCAGGGAACAAAGGCGGGGACGUGUCCCCGGAUGAGUGUACCUGAAGAAAGAGCAUCGGCUAACUCCGUGCCAGCAGCCGCGGUAAUACGGAGGAUGCGAGCGUUAUCCGGAUUUAUUGGGUUUAAAGGGUGCGCAGGCGGUCUGUUAAGUCAGCGGUCAAAGCCCGGGGCUCAACCCCGGCCCGCCGUUGAAACUGGCAGG